UAGGGAAUCUUCCACAAUGGACGCAAGUCUGAUGGAGCAACGCCGCGUGAGUGAAGAAGGUUUUCGGAUCGUAAAGCUCUGUUGUUGGUGAAGAAGGAUAGAGGCAGUAACUGGUCUUUAUUUGACGGUAAUCAACCAGAAAGUCACGGCUAACUACGUGCCAGCAGCCGCGGUAAUACGUAGGUGGCAAGCGUUGUCCGGAUUUAUUGGGCGUAAAGCGAGCGCAGGCGGAAUGAUAAGUCUGAUGUGAAAGCCCACGGCUCAACCGUGGAACUGCACCGGAAACUGUCAUUCUUGAGUGCAGAAGAGGAGAGUGGAAUUCUAUGUGUAGCAGUGGAAUGCGUAGAUAUAUGGAAGAACAACAGUGGCGAAGGCGGCUCUCUGGUCUGCAACUGACGCUGAGGCUCGAAAGCAUGGGUAGCGAACAGG
rnacentral:rRNA from 1 species